GACGAACGCUGGCGGCGUGCUUAUCACAUGCAAGUCGAACGGAAAGGCCCUGCUUUUGUGGGGUGCUCGAGUGGCGAACGGGUGAGUAACACGUGAGUAACCUGCCCUUGACCUUGGGAUAACUUCAGGAAACUGGGGCUAAUACCGGAUAGGAGCUCCUGCUGCAUGGUGGGGGUUGGAAAGUUUCGGCGGUUGGGGAUGGACUCGCGGCUUAUCAGCUUGUUGGUGGGGUAGUGGCUUACCAAGGCUUUGACGGGUAGCCGGCCUGAGAGGGUGACCGGCCACAUUGGGACUGAGAUACGGCCCAGACUCCUACGGGAGGCAGCAGUGGGGAAUAUUGCACAAUGGGCGGAAGCCUGAUGCAGCAACGCCGCGUGCGGGAUGACGGCCUUCGGGUUGUAAACCGCUUUCGCCUGUGACGAAGCGUGAGUGACGGUAAUGGGUAAAGAAGCACCGGCUAACUACGUG
rnacentral:rRNA from 1 species